rnacentral:lncRNA from 1 species
CACACAUCCACACGGGACAGAUUCACAAGACAGGGUAAAACCAGUUCCAGCAUGAUUCAGAAGGUUUGCUUUAAAAGACAGAGUUGGAUUCCGAGCAGACAGAAUUGUGGGAAUCGGAGUUUCUCUGUUGAAAGAGUGAGGUGUAGUUCGUCCAUUUCUGAACAGAUCCAUCCUGCUUCUCUUGAUGUCGUCCCAGAAUCCCAGUGUUCUCUGGCGAUUAGUCCCUCAGUCCUGUCUGGCGAUUAGUCCCUCAGUCCUGUCUGGCAAUUAGUCCCUCAGUCCUGUCUGGCGAUUAGUCCCUCAGUCCUGUCUGGCGAUUAUCCCCCCAGUCCUGUCUGGUGAUUGUAGUCCUCCCCAGUCCUGUCUGGUGAUUGUAGUCCUCCCCAGUCCUGUCUGGUGAUUGUAGUCCCCCCCAGUCCUGUCUGGCGAUUGUAGCCCCCCCAGUCCUGUCUGGUGAUUGUAGUCCUCCCCAGUCCUGUCUGGUGAUUGUAGUCCCCCCCAGUCCUGUCUGGUGAUUGUAGUCCCAGUCCUGUCUGGCGAUUGUAUCCCCCCCAGUCCUGUCUGGUGAUUGUAGUCCCCCCCAGUCCUGUCUGGUGAUUGUAGUCCCAGUCCUGUCUGGCGAUUGUAGUAUCCCCAGUCCUGUCUGGUGAUUGUAGUCCCAGUCCUGUCUGGCGAUUGUAGUCCCCCCAGUCCUGUCUGGCGAUUGUAGUCUCCCCCAGUCCUGUCUGGUGAUUGUAGUCCCCCCCAGUCCUGUCUGGUGAUUAUAGUCCCAGUCCUGUCUGGCGAUUAGUCCCUCAGUCCUGUCUGGUGAUUGCAGUCCUCCCCAGUCCUGUCUGGUGAUUGUAGUCCCCCAGUCCUGUCUGGUGAUUGUAGUCCCCCCAGUCUUGUCUGGUGAUUGUAGUCCCAGUCCUGUCUGGUGAUUGUAGUCUCCCCAGUCCUGUCUGGUGAUUGUAGUCCCCCCAGUCCUGUCUGGUGAUUGUAGUAUCCCCAGUCCUGUCUGGUGAUUGUAGUAUCCCCAGUCCUGUCUGGUGAUUGUAGUAUCCCCAGUCCAGUCCGGUGAUUGUAGUCCCCCCAGUCCUGUCUGGUGAUUGUAGUCCUCCCCAGUCCUGUCUGGUGAUUGUAGUCCUCCCCAGUCCUGUCUGGUGAUUGUAGUCCUCCCCAGUCCUGUCUGGUGAUUGUAGUCCCCCCAGUCCUGUCUGGUGAUUGUAGUCCCAGUCCUGUCUGGUGAUUGCAGUCACCCCAGUCCUGUCUGGUGAUUGCAGUCCCCCCAGUCCUGUCUGGUGAUUGUAGUCCCCCCAGUCCUGUCUGGUGAUUGUAGUCCCAGUCCUGUCUGGUGAUUGCAGUCACCCCAGUCCUG